UACGUAGGGUCCGAGCGUUGUCCGGAAUUAUUGGGCGUAAAGAGCUCGUAGGCGGUUUGUCGCGUCUGCCGUGAAAGUCCGGGGCUCAACUCCGGAUCUGCGGUGGGUACGGGCAGACUAGAGUGAUGUAGGGGAGACUGGAAUUCCUGGUGUAGCGGUGAAAUGCGUAGAGAUUAGGAAGAACACCAGUGGCGAAGGCGACUUCCUGGCCUGUUCUUGACGCUGAGGCGCGGAAAGCUGGGGGAGCAAACGGG
rnacentral:rRNA from 1 species